AUUGAACGCUGGCGGCAUGCUUUACACAUGCAAGUCGAACGGCAGCACAGCAGAGGUAACUCUGUGGGUGGCGAGUGGCGAACGGGUGAGUAAUACAUCGGAACGUACCCUGUUGUGGGGGAUAACUACGCGAAAGCGUAGCUAAUACCGCAUACGCCCUGAGGGGGAAAGCGGGGGACCCUAAAUAGAGCGCACUGGGGAGUGCGUUGUAUUUAGGGCCUCGCGCAAUAGGAGCGGCCGAUGUCGGAUUAGCUAGUUGGUGAGGUAAAGGCUUACCAAGGCGACGAUCCGUAGCUGGUCUGAGAGGAUGAUCAGCCACACUGGGACUGAGACACGGCCCAGACUCCUACGGGAGGCAGCAGUGGGGAAUUUUGGACAAUGGGGGCAACCCUGAUCCAGCCAUUCCGCGUGAGUGAAGAAGGCCU
rnacentral:rRNA from 1 species